GCCGCUUUAGCUCAGCUGGUAGAGCAUCGCAUUCGUAAUGCGGGGGUCGCGUGUUCGAGUCACGCAAGCGGCA
rnacentral:tRNA from 1 species